GACGAACGCUGGCGGCGUGCUUAACACAUGCAAGUCGAACGGAAAGGCCCUGCUUUUGUGGGGUGCUCGAGUGGCGAACGGGUGAGUAACACGUGAGUAACCUGCCCUUGACUUUGGGAUAACUUCAGGAAACUGGGGCUAAUACCGGAUAGGAGCUCCUGCUGCAUGGUGGGGGUUGGAAAUUUUCGGCGGUUGGGGAUGGACUCGCGGCUUAUCAGCUUGUUGGUGGGGUAGUGGCUUACCAAGGCUUUGACGGGUAGCCGGCCUGAGAGGGUGACCGGCCACAUUGGGACGGAGAUACGGCCAAGACUCAUACGGGAGGCAGCAGUGGGGAAUAUUGCACAAUGGGCGGAAGCCUGAUGCAGCAACGCCGGGUGCGGGAUGACGGCCUUCGGGUUGGAAACCGCUUUCGCCUGUGACGAAGCGUGAGUGACGGUAAUGGGUAAGAAGCACCGGCUAACUACGUG
rnacentral:rRNA from 1 species